UUUCAGCGAUCCAGACCGGACGGAGGAGGUCAAGUCGUAAUCUGCGGGUCAGUAGAAGAACGCCAAGGGUCUCUCUGGGACAAGGGCGCCGACAGAGCCGCCAAGGUGAAGGGCAGGAUCAUCCCCACUGAGGCCAAGGUCACAAACUGCCACUGGAUUACAAAGCAGAAGAAAGGAGGACCUAGCUCACGAAGAAGACCAUGGUUAAACUGGAUAUACGUACAGUACAGUACAUAGAUGAACUGACCACAACGCCAUGCAGUGAAGGAAGGGUGCGGUGGAAGGGAUGGUGGCAGGUGGCGACGAUAAUGGUGGUUGCAUCUACGAAAUGACGGAGGGACGUUACGCUCCAGACUUGAGCGAUGAAGACAUCCUUAUCAUCGGGAGCCCAGACGUUCUUCUUCGGAUCGUAAGGCGCGGAGCG